rnacentral:pre_miRNA from 1 species
AGGAGGAACAACCGCAGUGGCGGGGCCAGCUCUGGAGCCCUGGAGUCAGCUCCCGCAGUAACUACAGAGCUCUCUGUCUGCAGGGCCUGGAGGCUCCGGGGCGGG